UACGUAGGGUGCAAGCGUUGUCCGGAAUUAUUGGGCGUAAAGAGCUCGUAGGCGGUCUGUCGCGUCUGCUGUGAAAACUCAGGGCUUAACCCUGAGCUUGCAGUGGGUACGGGCAGACUAGAGUGCGGUAGGGGAGAUCGGAAUUCCUGGUGUAGCGGUGAAAUGCGCAGAUAUCAGGAGGAACACCGGUGGCGAAGGCGGAUCUCUGGGCCUUACCUGACGCUCAGGCACGAAAGCUAGGGGAGCGAACAGG
rnacentral:rRNA from 1 species